UUGAGUGCCGAUUGGCUCAGUCGGUUGAGUGCCAGCAUGGUGUGCUGGCGGUCGCGGGUCAAGCAUCGCGUGUCGUUCAAA
rnacentral:tRNA from 1 species